GGUUAAGCGACUAAGCGUACACGGUGGAUGCCCUGGCAGUCAGAGGCGAUGAAGGACGUGCUAAUCUGCGAUAAGCGUCGGUAAGGUGAUAUGAACCGUUAUAACCGGCGAUUUCCGAAUGGGGAAACCCAGUGUGUUUCGACACACUAUCAUUAACUGAAUCCAUAGGUUAAUGAGGCGAACCGGGGGAACUGAAACAUCUAAGUACCCCGAGGAAAAGAAAUCAACCGAGAUUCCCCCAGUAGCGGCGAGCGAACGGGGAGCAGCCCAGAGCCUGAAUCAGUGUGUGUGUUAGUGGAAGCGUCUGGAAAGGCGUGCGAUACAGGGUGACAGCCCCGUACACAAAAAUGCACAUGCUGUGAGCUCGAUGAGUAGGGCGGGACACGUGGUAUCCUGUCUGAAUAUGGGGGGACCAUCCUCCAAGGCUAAAUACUCCUGACUGACCGAUAGUGAACCAGUACCGUGAGGGAAAGGCGAAAAGAACCCCGGCGAGGGGAGUGAAAAAGAACCUGAAACCGUGUACGUACAAGCAGUGGGAGCACGCUUAGGCGUGUGACUGCGUACCUUUUGUAUAAUGGGUCAGCGACUUAUAUUCUGUAGCAAGGUUAACCGAAUAGGGGAGCCGAAGGGAAACCGAGUCUUAACUGGGCGUUAAGUUGCAGGGUAUAGACCCGAAACCCGGUGAUCUAGCCAUGGGCAGGUUGAAGGUUGGGUAACACUAACUGGAGGACCGAACCGACUAAUGUUGAAAAAUUAGCGGAUGACUUGUGGCUGGGGGUGAAAGGCCAAUCAAACCGGGAGAUAGCUGGUUCUCCCCGAAAGCUAUUUAGGUAGCGCCUCGUGAAUUCAUCUCCGGGGGUAGAGCACUGUUUCGGCAAGGGGGUCAUCCCGACUUACCAACCCGAUGCAAACUGCGAAUACCGGAGAAUGUUAUCACGGGAGACACACGGCGGGUGCUAACGUCCGUCGUGAAGAGGGAAACAACCCAGACCGCCAGCUAAGGUCCCAAAGUCAUGGUUAAGUGGGAAACGAUGUGGGAAGGCCCAGACAGCCAGGAUGUUGGCUUAGAAGCAGCCAUCAUUUAAAGAAAGCGUAAUAGCUCACUGGUCGAGUCGGCCUGCGCGGAAGAUGUAACGGGGCUAAACCAUGCACCGAAGCUGCGGCAGCGACACUAUGUGUUGUUGGGUAGGGGAGCGUUCUGUAAGCCUGUGAAGGUGUGCUGUGAGGCAUGCUGGAGGUAUCAGAAGUGCGAAUGCUGACAUAAGUAACGAUAAAGCGGGUGAAAAGCCCGCUCGCCGGAAGACCAAGGGUUCCUGUCCAACGUUAAUCGGGGCAGGGUGAGUCGACCCCUAAGGCGAGGCCGAAAGGCGUAGUCGAUGGGAAACAGGUUAAUAUUCCUGUACUUGGUGUUACUGCGAAGGGGGACGGAGAAGGCUAUGUUGGCCGGGCGACGGUUGUCCCGGUUUAAGCGUGUAGGCUGGUUUUCCAGGCAAAUCCGGAAAAUCAAGGCUGAGGCGUGAUGACGAGGCACUACGGUGCUGAAGCAACAAAUGCCCUGCUUCCAGGAAAAGCCUCUAAGCAUCAGGUAACAUCAAAUCGUACCCCAAACCGACACAGGUGGUCAGGUAGAGAAUACCAAGGCGCUUGAGAGAACUCGGGUGAAGGAACUAGGCAAAAUGGUGCCGUAACUUCGGGAGAAGGCACGCUGAUAUGUAGGUGAAGCGACUUGCUCGUGGAGCUGAAAUCAGUCGAAGAUACCAGCUGGCUGCAACUGUUUAUUAAAAACACAGCACUGUGCAAACACGAAAGUGGACGUAUACGGUGUGACGCCUGCCCGGUGCCGGAAGGUUAAUUGAUGGGGUUAGCCGCAAGGCGAAGCUCUUGAUCGAAGCCCCGGUAAACGGCGGCCGUAACUAUAACGGUCCUAAGGUAGCGAAAUUCCUUGUCGGGUAAGUUCCGACCUGCACGAAUGGCGUAAUGAUGGCCAGGCUGUCUCCACCCGAGACUCAGUGAAAUUGAACUCGCUGUGAAGAUGCAGUGUACCCGCGGCAAGACGGAAAGACCCCGUGAACCUUUACUAUAGCUUGACACUGAACAUUGAGCCUUGAUGUGUAGGAUAGGUGGGAGGCUUUGAAGUGUGGACGCCAGUCUGCAUGGAGCCGACCUUGAAAUACCACCCUUUAAUGUUUGAUGUUCUAACGUUGACCCGUAAUCCGGGUUGCGGACAGUGUCUGGUGGGUAGUUUGACUGGGGCGGUCUCCUCCUAAAGAGUAACGGAGGAGCACGAAGGUUGGCUAAUCCUGGUCGGACAUCAGGAGGUUAGUGCAAUGGCAUAAGCCAGCUUGACUGCGAGCGUGACGGCGCGAGCAGGUGCGAAAGCAGGUCAUAGUGAUCCGGUGGUUCUGAAUGGAAGGGCCAUCGCUCAACGGAUAAAAGGUACUCCGGGGAUAACAGGCUGAUACCGCCCAAGAGUUCAUAUCGACGGCGGUGUUUGGCACCUCGAUGUCGGCUCAUCACAUCCUGGGGCUGAAGUAGGUCCCAAGGGUAUGGCUGUUCGCCAUUUAAAGUGGUACGCGAGCUGGGUUUAGAACGUCGUGAGACAGUUCGGUCCCUAUCUGCCGUGGGCGCUGGAGAACUGAGGGGGCUGCUCCUAGUACGAGAGGACCGGAGUGGACGCAUCACUGGUGUUCGGGUUGUCAUGCCAAUGGCACUGCCCGGUAGCUAAAUGCGGAAGAGAUAAGUGCUGAAAGCAUCUAAGCACGAAACUUGCCCCGAGAUGAGUUCUCCCUGACUCCUUGAGAGUCCUGAAGGAACGUUGAAGACGACGACGUUGAUAGGCCGGGUGUGUAAGCGCAGCGAUGCGUUGAGCUAACCGGUACUAAUGAACCGUGAGGCUUAACCUU
rnacentral:rRNA from 1 species